rnacentral:rRNA from 1 species
CCUACGGGCGGCAGCAGUGGGGAAUAUUGGACAAUGGGCGAAAGCCUGAUCCAGCCAUGCCGCGUGUGUGAAGAAGGCCUUCGGGUUGUAAAGCACUUUCAGUGGGGAAGAAAGUCUUGGGGCUAAUACCCUCGAGGAAGGACAUCACCCACAGAAGAAGCACCGGCUAACUCCGUGCCAGCAGCCGCGGUAAUACGGAGGGUGCGAGCGUUAAUCGGAAUUACUGGGCGUAAAGCGCGCGUAGGCGGUCUGAUAAGCCGGUUGUGAAAGCCCCGGGCUCAACCUGGGAACGGCAUCCGGAACUGUCAGGCUAGAGUGCAGGAGAGGAAGGUAGAAUUCCCGGUGUAGCGGUGAAAUGCGUAGAGAUCGGGAGGAAUACCAGUGGCGAAGGCGGCCUUCUGGACUGACACUGACGCUGAGGUGCGAAAGCGUGGGUAGCAAACAGGAUUAGAUACCCCAGUAGUC